GGAGCGUUCUGUAAGCCUGCGAAGGUGUGCUGUGAGGCAUGCUGGAGGUAUCAGAAGUGCGAAUGCUGACAUAAGUAACGAUAAAGCGGGUGAAAAGCCCGCUCGCCGGAAGACCAAGGGUUCCUGUCCAACGUUAAUCGGGGCAGGGUGAGUCGACCCCUAAGGCGAGGCCGAAAGGCGUAGUCGAUGGGAAACAGGUUAAUAUUCCUGUACUUGGUGUUACUGCGAAGGGGGGACGGAGAAGGCUAUGUUGGCCGGGCGACGGUUGUCCCGGUUUAAGCGUGUAGGCUGGUUUUCCAGGCAAAUCCGGAAAAUCAAGGCUGAGGCGUGAUGACGAGGCACUACGGUGCUGAAGCAACAAAUGCCCUGCUUCCAGGAAAAGCCUCUAAGCAUCAGGUAACAUCAAAUCGUACCCCAAACCGACACAGGUGGUCAGGUAGAGAAUACCAAGGCGCUUGAGAGAACUCGGGUGAAGGAACUAGGCAAAAUGGUGCCGUAACUUCGGGAGAAGGCACGCUGAUAUGUAGGUGAAGUCCCUUGCGGAUGGAGCUGAAAUCAGUCGAAGAUACCAGCUGGCUGCAACUGUUUAUUAAAAACACAGCACUGUGCAAACACGAAAGUGGACGUAUACGGUGUGACGCCUGCCCGGUGCCGGAAGGUUAAUUGAUGGGGUCAGCGCAAGCGAAGCUCUUGAUCGAAGCCCCGGUAAACGGCGGCCGUAACUAUAACGGUCCUAAGGUAGCGAAAUUCCUUGUCGGGUAAGUUCCGACCUGCACGAAUGGCGUAAUGAUGGCCAGGCUGUCUCCACCCGAGACUCAGUGAAAUUGAACUCGCUGUGAAGAUGCAGUGUACCCGCGGCAAGACGGAAAGACCCCGUGAACCUUUACUAUAGCUUGACACUGAACAUUGAGCCUUGAUGUGUAGGAUAGGUGGGAGGCUUUGAAGUGUGGACGCCAGUCUGCAUGGAGCCGGCCUUGAAAUACCACCCUUUAAUGUUUGAUGUUCUAACGUGGACCCGUGAUCCGGGUUGCGGACAGUGUCUGGUGGGUAGUUUGACUGGGGCGGUCUCCUCCUAAAGAGUAACGGAGGAGCACGAAGGUUGGCUAAUCCUGGUCGGACAUCAGGAGGUUAGUGCAAUGGCAUAAGCCAGCUUGACUGCGAGCGUGACGGCGCGAGCAGGUGCGAAAGCAGGUCAUAGUGAUCCGGUGGUUCUGAAUGGAAGGGCCAUCGCUCAACGGAUAAAAGGUACUCCGGGGAUAACAGGCUGAUACCGCCCAAGAGUUCAUAUCGACGGCGGUGUUUGGCACCUCGAUGUCGGCUCAUCACAUCCUGGGGCUGAAGUAGGUCCCAAGGGUAUGGCUGUUCGCCAUUUAAAGUGGUACGCGAGCUGGGUUUAGAACGUCGUGAGACAGUUCGGUCCCUAUCUGCCGUGGGCGCUGGAGAACUG
rnacentral:rRNA from 1 species